CCUGGUUGAUCCUGCCAGUAAUCAUAUGCUUGUCUCAAAGAUUAAGCCAUGCAUGUCUAAGUACAUGCCGAAAUAAGGCGAAACCGCGAAUGGCUCAUUAAAUCAGUUAUGGUUCCUUAGAUCGUUUCUUCCUACUUGGAUAACUGUGGCAAUUCUAGAGCUAAUACAUGCAGUGAGCCUGGAGCCCUUUGGGUAACGGGUGCUUUUAUUAGACCAAGAUCGAUCGGGUUUCGGCCCGUAUUGUGUGGUGACUCUGGAUAACUUUGUGCUGAUCGCAUGGCCACGAGCCGGCGACGUUUCUUUCAAGUGUCUGCCUUAUCAACUUUCGAUGGUAGGUUACUUGCUUACCAUGGUUGUUACGGGUAACGGAGAAUCAGGGUUCGAUUCCGGAGAGGGAGCCUGAGAAACGGCUACCACAUCCAAGGAAGGCAGCAGGCGCGCAAAUUACCCACUCCCGGCACGGGGAGGUAGUGACGAAAAAUAACAAUACGGGACUCUCUUUUGAGGCCCCGUAAUUGAAAUGAGUACACUCUAAAUCCUUUAACGAGGAUCAAUUGGAGGGCAAGUCUGGUGCCAGCAGCCGCGGUAAUUCCAGCUCCAAUAGCGUAUACUAAAGCUGCUGCGGUUAAAAAGCUCGUAGUUGGAUCUCAGUUCCAGACGAGUAGUGCAUCUACCCGAUGCGACGGCUCGGACUGAACAUCAUGCCGGUUCUUUCUUGGUGCACUUCAUUGUGUGCCUCGAGAUGGCCGGUGCUUUUACUUUGAAAAAAUUAGAGUGCUCAACGCAGGCGAGUCUCCUGAAUAAACUUGCAUGGAAUAAUAGAACAAGACCUCGUUUCUGUUCUGUUGGUUUUUGGAAUACGAGGUAAUGAUUAAGAGGGACGGACGGGGGCAUUCGUAUUGCGGCGCUAGAGGUGAAAUUCUUGGACCGUCGCAAGACGAACUACUGCGAAAGCAUUUGCCAAGAAUGUUUUCAUUGAUCAAGAACGAAAGUCAGAGGUUCGAAGGCGAUCAGAUACCGCCCUAGUUCUGACCAUAAACGAUGCCAACCAGCGAUCCGCCUGAGUUACUCAAAUGACUCGGCGGGCAGCUUCCGGGAAACCAAAGUAUUUGGGUUCCGGGGGAAGUAUGGUUGCACAAGGCUGCGAACCACUUACAAGGAAUACGGUAAGGCACCACCAGGAGUGGAGCCUGCGGCUUAUUUGACUCACACACGGAGGAAAACUUACCCGGCCCGGACACUGGGAGGAUUGACAGAUUGAGAGCUCUUUCUUGAUUCGGUGGAUGGUGGUGCAUGGCCGUUCUUAGUUGGUGGAGCGAUUUGUCUGGUUAAUUCCGAUAACGAACGAGACUCUAGCCAUUAAAUAGGGAAUUAGGGUGCGGCCCGGCGGGGUUCCCUUCCCAGCACCUUACAACCUUCUUAGAGGGACAAGCGGCUCCUAGCCGCACGAAACAGAGCAAUAACAGGUCUGUGAUGCCCUUAGAUGUCCGGGGCCGCACGCGCGCUACACUGAAGGAAGCAGCGUGUCUUUAUCCCUGUCUGAAAAGACUGGGUAACCCGUGGAACUUCUUUCGUGAUUGGGAUAGGGGCUUGCAAUUGUUCCCCUUGAACGAGGAAUUCCCAGUAAGCGCGAGUCAUAAGCUCGCGUUGAUUACGUCCCUGCCCUUUGUACACACCGCCCGUCGCUACUACCGAUUGAAUGAUUUAGUGAGGUCUUCGGACCGAUGUCCGGCGCGGCCUUUCGGUUG
rnacentral:rRNA from 1 species